rnacentral:rRNA from 1 species
UACGAACGGUCCAAACGUUAUUCGGAAUCACUGGGCUUAAAGCGUCCGUAGGCGGCUCGGAAAGUAGGGUGUGAAAUCCCACGGCUCAACCGUGGAAUUGCGCUCUAAACUAUCGAGCUAGAGGGAGAUAGAGGUGAGCGGAACUGAUGGUGGAGCGGUGAAAUGCAUUGAGAUCGGAAAGAACACCAACGGCGAAAGCACUCUGCUGGGCCGACACUGACACUGAGAGACGAAAGCUAGGGGAGCAAAUGGG